GCCAGCAGGCAUAUCACUCUGCAACUCACAACUGUCAGCCCACUGAAGCUCAGCAGGGGUGAGCCUGGUCAGUACCUGGAUGGGAGACCCCCUGGGAAAAACUAAGGUUGCUGCUGGAA
rnacentral:rRNA from 1 species